GUGAGUGUCCUGUUUACAGCUGGUAUAUUUUUCGAAAAGCCCUCUAAACUGGUCACUUCCACUCUACAG
ensembl:ncRNA mir-3641 mir-3641 stem loop